rnacentral:rRNA from 1 species
GAUGAACCGCGUGGACAGAAUGCUUAACACACGCAAGUCGACUCGAGGUCUUCGGGACUUAGGGGUGGCGCACGGGUGAGUAACGCGUAAAGAACUUGCCUCUUAGACUGGGACAACAUCUGGAAACGGAUGCUAAUACCGGAUAUUAUGGUUUCUUCGCAUGGAGGAAUCAUGAAAGCUAGAUGCGCUAAGAGAGAGCUUUGCGUCCCAUUAGCUCGCUGGUGAGGUAACGGCCCACCAAGGCAAUGAUGGGUAGCCGGCCUGAGAGGGUGAACGGCCACAAGGGGACUGAGACACGGCCCUU